UCCCUGUGUGAGGAGAAAGACAGACCUAAUGUGGAGUCAGGCCUGCCUGCUGGGCAGUCACCAUAUCCUCACUCAUUCAGAACACACUCCUGAAGUUGGGUGUUGGCACCACCUUAGGGCUGAGAAAGUGCCUCCAGGAGGCACAGGAAUUUUGGAAUGCACCUGGCCUUUCUCUUGGCAGCCAUGGAAUCUCAGACAUACCCCUUCACCACUAUGGGCCUUUGAUGCUCAGAUGUUAAACAAAGGAGUCAAAAUAAAAACUGGAAAAAGAAAGACAUCACAUCACUCCAUAGCGUACCCUGUGAAGAACCAGCAAACCCGUCAAUACAGUUGAGUCAUGGCAUGCCAUAGAUGUGGACUAGCUGACUUCCAGCAUAUUCUAACAGGACCAUGCUCCGUGAGUCUCCACAGAUAAGUAGACACCAACAAACCCAGGUAGGGGAUGUGAUGACCGUGUCUGGGUGGUACAGCUGAAGCAGGUGGCAAAUGUAAACCCAGCUGUCAAGCCAAGCUCCUGCAAGGCCCAAGCCUGAGGAGAAAGACUGCAAGUUCUGUCCCUCACACUCGGGAGAGCCAAGCAGCCAUCCCUCUUGGAGGUCAGAGGGUCUUUGGAUACUAAAGCCUUUCUCCUCAGUCUUCUCUUUGUCCUCUCGAGCCUGCUGUGCCCUUAUCUACAAGGAUACUCUUCUAUAAAAAUGCGGGUGGAAGAGCUCUGAGAUCCACCUGACAAGCAGUGCAGGACAGGGACAAGCACUGCAGGUUGGGUGGCGGAGGCCAACCUCGAGCUUAGCAGAAGGGGGACUUGGCAAGCAGUUCCUGCCCAGCUGCUGGCUGGAAAUUUUCCCUCCGGUUUCAGAGUUCCCUGGGAGCUUCCAGGUGCCCUGCCAGUCUCUCUCAGACCCCAGAGGGUGAGAACAAGAUUCUUCAAGCCUGUCUUCGUCCUCACUCCACCCGUGUCCUGCCAGAACCCUGGCGGUUUAGACUCCAUGACUGCUCAGACCAUCUCUGAAAUCCCCUGGAGGGCCCAAGUGGAGCCUGUACC